GGAGAGGGUCCAUUUCGUCUCCUCAAAGGUCAAAGUUCAGACCCUUGUUUAGCCUAGGUUCUGUCAAAAUCAAAUCAAAAUACAAUAAAAUAAAAUGUUAUUGGUCGUGUACACAUGUUUAGCAGAUGUUAUUGCCGGUGUAAUAUCUAACAAUUACACAACAAUACACGAGUAGCCUGGUGGUUAGAGGAGGCAGGUAGCCUAGUGGUUAGAGGAAACAAGUAGUCUAGUGGUUAGAGGAGGCGGGUAGCCUAGUGGUUAGAGGAGGAGGCAGGUAGCCUAGUGGUUAGAGGAGGCAGGUAGCCUAGUGGUUAGAGGAGGCGGGUAGCCUGGUGGUUAGAGGAGGCAGGUAGCCUAGUGGUUAGAGGAGGCAGGUAGCCUAGUGGUUAGAGGAGGCAGGUAGCCUGGUGGUUAGAGGAGGCAGGUAGCCUGGUGGUUAGAGGAGGCAGGUAGCCUAGUGGUUAGAGGAGGCAGGUAGCCUAGUGGUUAGAGGAGGCAGGUAGCCUAGUGGUUAGAGUGUUGGCCUAGUAACUGAAAGGUUGCUAGAUUGAAUCCCCGAGCUGACAAGGUAAAAAUCUGUCGUUCUGCCCCUGAACAAGGUAGGCCGUCAUUAUAAAUAAUAAUUAGUUCUUAACUGACUUGCCUGGUUAACUAAAAAAAAAUAGCUCUGGUUAAAAUGGGAUGCCUGCUAUUUGCACUGCAUUUCUCUGGUCAAAAGAAGGGCACUAUGGGGUGCCUGGCAAAUUCAUCAACACAACAACAACGGAUAAGAUCUUCUGGUUGCAUAUCACCCAGCUAGAGUUCUCCUGGCUAACGAGACUCCACAUGCAGAAAUAUCAGUGGAAUUUAUCGAACUUGAACGAACAUAUUCUCUCGUCAGGUAAAUAUGUUUCCUAGGCCUUUACGUUUGGUUGGAAUGGGUUUUUUAAAUGCCCAAGCCGGUUCACUUUCCUGUUAGUGACAUAUAGGCUAUACUGUAUUUAUUAGUUAUGCCUUUAUUUAUUUAUUUAUUAUUAUAUAUAUAUUUAUUUUAAAUAAACGAAGUCAUACUUAAAAGGGAGAGAUAUCGUGCGCUUUUUUUCUCAUUAUGUUGACAGUCACGCGGGCGUGUAAUAAAGGAACGCGGAGUUAACAUGCGCUGUUAAUUUUUCAUUGCUUUUUUUUUCGUUUAGGGGGCUCACCCACCCAAAAAACCGAGAGAGAGAGACGAGAGGGGUAGAGAGAGAGAGAGAGAGAGAGAACUUGUCAUAAGUACAAAAUAAAGGAAAUGGGAAAAAGGAAUGAAUGGAACUAAAACCAAAACAACAAUUCUGCCUUCGAUGAUGUUCACGUCAUAAACACAUUUUAAAGAAGCACCUCUCCUCUCCUCUCCUCCCCUCUCCUCUACUCUCCUUCUCCCUCCCUCUCUCCCCCUCUCCUCUCCUCUCCUCCCCUCUCCUCUCC
rnacentral:lncRNA from 1 species